GCAUUAAUGGGGUAGUGGUAACCUGGGUCGUUGCCAUCAGUGAUUCGAGCGUAUGCGCCUUUCUCGACCCGCCGGGGGUUCGAUUCCCCCUUAAUGCA